GGAGAGAUGCAGGAGUGGUUGAACUGGCCGCUCUCGAAAAGCGGUGUAUCCCUAGGAUACCCAGGGUUCGAAUCCCUGUCUCUCCGCCA
rnacentral:tRNA from 1 species